rnacentral:rRNA from 1 species
UACGUAGGGUGCAAGCGUUGUCCGGAAUUAUUGGGCGUAAAGAGCUCGUAGGCGGUUCGUCGCGUCGGCUGUGAAAACCUGAGGCUCAACCUCAGGCCUGCAGUCGAUACGGGCGGACUUGAGUACUGCAGGGGAGACUGAUCCUGUGUAGCGGUGAAAUGCGCAGAUAUCAGGAGGAACACCGGUGGCGAAGGCGGGUCUCUGGGCAGUAACUGACGCUGAGGAGCGAAAGCGUGGGGAGCGAACAGG